CUCACACACACUUUCUCUCUCUCUCUCUCUCACCCAGAUCUUGUAGCAAUGGCGAGCGCUCCCACUCCACGCGAAGAGUUCGUGUACAUGGCGAAGCUGGCGGAGCAGGCCGAGCGCUACGAGGAGAUGGUGGAGUUCAUGGAGAAGGUCUCCGCCUCCGCCGAGAGCGAGGAGCUGACCGUGGAGGAGCGUAACCUCCUCUCCGUCGCCUACAAGAACGUGAUCGGCGCUCGCCGCGCCUCCUGGCGCAUCAUCUCCUCAAUCGAG
rnacentral:lncRNA from 1 species